rnacentral:rRNA from 1 species
CAUGCAAGUCGAGCGAGAAAGGGCUUCGGCCCCAGUAAAGCGGCGCACGGGUGAGUAACACGUAGGUAAUCUGCCUCUGGGUGGUGGAUAACCUUCCGAAAGGAGGGCUAAUACAGCAUAAGACCACGCGUUCGAAAGGGCGUGAGGUCAAAGCCGGCCUCUUCAAGAAAGCUGGCGCCUGGAGAUGAGCCUGCGGCCCAUCAGCUAGUUGGUAGGGUAAUGGCCUACCAAGGCGAAGACGGGUAGCUGGUCUGAGAGGAUGAUCAGCCACACUGGAACUGAGACACGGUCCAGACUCCUACGGGAGGCAGCAGUGGGGAAUCUUGCGCAAUGGGCGAAAGCCUGACGCAGCGACGCCGCGUGAGUGAUGAAGGCCUUCGGGUUGUAAAGCUCUGUGGAGGGGGACGAAUAAGGGUCGUCGAAUAGACGGUCCGAUGACGGUACCCCUUUAGCAAGCACCGGCUAACUCUGUGCCAGCAGCCGCGGUAAUACGAAGGGGGCUAGCGUUGUUCGGAAUUACUGGGCGUAAAGCGCACGUAGGCGGAUUGUUAAGUGAGGGGUGAAAUCCCAGGGCUCAACCCUGGAACUGCCUCUCAUACUGGCAAUCUCGAGUUCGAGAGANGUGAGUGGAAUUCCGAGUGUAGAGGUGAAAUUCGUAGAUAUUCNGAGGAACACCAGUGGCGANGCGGCUCACUGGCUCGAUACUGACGCUGA